CGGGAAUUUUGGGCAAUGGGCGCAAGCCUGACCCAGCAACGCCGCGUGAAGGAUGAAAUCCUUCGGGAUGUAAACUUCGCAAGAACAGGAAGAAUAAGUAAGGGUUAAUAUCUCUUAUGAUGACGGUACUGUUUGUAAGCCCCGGCUAACUCCGUGCCAGCAGCCGCGGUAAUACGGAGGGGGCUAGCGUUGUUCGGAAUUACUGGGCGUAAAGCGAACGUAGGCGGCUUUGUAAGUUAGAGGUGAAAGCCCGGAGCUCAACUCCGGAAUUGCCUUUAAGACUGCAUCGCUAGAAUUGUGGAGAGGUAAGUGGAAUUCCGAGUGUAGAGGUGAAAUUCGUAGAUAUUCGGAAGAACACCAGUGGCGAAGGCGACUUACUGGACACAUAUUGACGCUGAGGUGCGAAAGCGUGGGGAGCAAAC
rnacentral:rRNA from 1 species